rnacentral:rRNA from 1 species
AUGCAUCACACAACAAAUCUCAUGUUCGCCACCCACCUGUUGUUCAUCAUCUUAAGCUUCACUUCAUUUUCGCAAGUGGGGCAUGCACUAGCACUCCAACCCCAGCUUGCACAUGCUCAUGGUGGCGGCUGCAUCCCAGCCGAGAGGGCCGCCUUGCUCGCCUUCCACAAGGGCAUCACAAGUGACAACGCAAGUGUCCUCGCCUCGUGGCACGGACAUGAUUGCUGCCGGUGGAGGGGCGUCAGUUGCAACAACCGAAUAGGUCAUGUCAUCAAGCUUCACCUUCCCAAUACAAGUCCGGACCUUAACACAUAUGGGUGUGGUCAUGAUCAUUCAUUGGCCGACACAACUGUGGAAACUGAUACCUAUCAUGCGUGCAGUGAUGCUAAUUCAUUGUACGGUGAGAUAAGUACCUCUCUGCUUUCCUUGAAGCAUCUAGAGCACAUGGAUCUUAGUAUGAACUGUUUGGUAGGGACGAAUAGUCACAUUCCUCAGUUCUUGAGCUCCAUGGAGAACUUGAGGUAUCUUAACCUCUGCGGCAUGCCAUUUACCGGUAGAGUUCCUUCUCAACUUGGUAAUCUGUCUAAGUUGCAGCAUCUUGACCUUGGUCAGGGUUAUAGCGAGAUGUACUCGGCGGACAUCACCUGGUUAACAAAGCUACCAUUGUUGCAGUACCUUAGCAUGAAUGGAAUAAAUCUCUCUAGGAUAACUGACUGGCCUGGUACAUUGAAUAUGAUUCCAUCUCUAAGGGUCAUCAAUCUUGCUGCAUGCUCACUUGAUACUGCAAGUCAAUCGCUUCCCUACCUUAACCUCACGAAACUUGAGAAGCUUGAUUUGUCUGAGAAUAAUUUAGGCCACUCAAUUGCAUCAAGUUGGUUUUGGAAAGUGACGAGCCUCAAAUACCUCAGUCUUCGUCUGAAUUUCCGUGCAAAUUGGUUAUUCGGCAAACUUCCCGAUGCACUAGGAAACAUGACGUCGCUCAAGGUCCUUGAUGUGUCAGCUACCAAUCUGAAUAAGAGUGGAAACAUUGAAAAUCUUUGCUCUUUGGAAGUGCUCGACCUUUCUAAAAAUCCUAUGAUUGGAGAUAUAGUGGUGUUGAUGGAGGGAUUGCCGAGAUGUGCACGGGGGAAACUGCUGGAGCUGAAUUUGCAUGGAAACGAAUUCACCGGGGCCCUGCCAAAUUUUAUAGGGGAAUUCAGCAGCUUGAGCAUGCUUGACCUUUCUUGCAACAACCUUGUUGGACCUAUACCGACUGGGCUUAGGAAUUUGGUGCAUUUAACCAUCCUUGAUCUCGACUGGAAUCUACUCAACGGUACUAUUCCAACUGAAAUUGGUGACCUUACUGCUCUGACUUAUUUGGACAUAAGCCGCAACAACUUGACUGGAAUUAUACCAGCCGAGCUUGGAAAAUUGAAGCGUUUGGCUUACCUUAAUCUUGCAGAGAACAAAAUUACUGGACCAUUACCCAUUGAAAUGGGUUCUCUGAGGAAUCUGGUUUAUCUGUACCUAAGCAACAACAACCUUAGUGGCGUGAUCACAGAAGAACACAUUGCUGAUAUAAAAGGUUUAAAGAUUAUAAGCUUGUCUUCCAAUAAUUUGAAGAUUGUAGUCGAUUCAGAUUGGCGUUCUCCCUUUAGGCUACAGGCUGCAGAUUUUGCAUCAUGCCAAAUGGGUCCUCUCUUUCCAGCUUGGCUUCAGCAGCUGCGGGGGAUCGAUGCACUUGACAUUUCGAGCACCGGUUUAAAGGACAAGUUUCCUGAGUGGUUUUGGCAUACAUUUUCACAAACAACAUAUCUCGACAUCUCUAACAAUCAAAUAAGUGGCAUCUUGCCAGCACAUCUGGAUGGCAUGGCCUUGGAAGAACUCUACCUAAGUUCAAACCGGCUCACCGGCUCAAUACCUUCGUUGCCAUCAAAUAUCACUAUGUUAGACAUCUCCAACAAUAAUUUUUCAGGAGUAAUACCAUCAAAUUUUGAAGCCUCCCAACUUCAAAUGUUGCUUAUAUAUUCUAAUCAAAUUGGUGGGUACAUUCCAGAAUCCUUCUGCAAAUUGGAACAGUUGUUGUAUCUGGAUUUGUCAAAUAAUUUCUUGAAGGGGAAAAUUCCUGAAUGUUCUGACAUCCAAAAAAUGCAAUAUCUUCUGCUCGGUAAUAACAACUUAUCAGGAGAAUUCCCAGCAUUUUUGCAGAAUAACACGGAUAUGGAGUUCUUGGAUCUCGCAUGGAACAAGUUGUCUGGAAGAUUGCCUACAUGGAUAGGAGAUCUGGCUAAUUUACAUUUUGUACUACUGAGCCACAAUGCAUUUUCUGAUAAUAUUCCAGUCGACAUAACAAGGCUUUGGAAUCUUCAAUACUUGGAUCUAUCAUGCAAUAAUUUGUCUGGUGAAAUACCUUGGCAUCUAUCAAACCUAACACUUAUGAAAAAAGAACAAAAGGAAUUCCUGGAAAUGGAUGAUGGAGUCACUGGAAACGACACCGAGAUGGGAGCUACUCACCUUGGAGAAAUAUUGUCAGUAGUUACAAAAGGACAGCAGCUUAUAUAUGGUAGAACACUUGUAUAUUUUGUUGGCAUUGAUUUAUCAGCUAACUCCUUGACUGGUGAAAUCCCUACAGACAUCACUUCCCUUGAUGCGCUGAUGAAUUUGAAUUUAUCAUCAAACAAAUUGAGUGGACAGAUUCCAAACAUGAUUGGCGCCAUGCAGUCACUAGUAUCCCUUGACCUCUCUGAGAACAAGUUCUCUGGUGAAAUCCCGACGAGCUUGUCAAGCCUGGCAUUGUUGGAGGCCUUGAACCUGUCCUACAACAAUUUAUCUGGAAGGAUACCCUCUGGCCGUCAACUUGACACCCUCAAUUCGAACAACCAGUCAAUUAUAUACAUCGGCAACAGUGGACUCUGUGGGCCUCCUCUCCAAAAUAAUUGUCCAGGAAAUGAUUCUUUCAUCGUCUAUGGCGAUCUUGAAAGCAGUAAGCAACCGUUUGAUCCACUGACCUUUCAUUUUGGUCUUGUGCUGGGACUUGUGGUGGGGCUCUGGGUGGUAUUUUGUGCCUUGUUGUUCAAGAGGACAUGGAGAACUGCUUAUUUCCGGCUCUUCGACAAGGUAUAUGAUCAAGUCUAUGUAUUUGUGGUUGUGAAGUGGGGAAGCUUCACAAAGAACACAGCCGCAGAAUAA